rnacentral:misc_RNA from 1 species
CAAGCAGUGACCUAUUAUGUACAGGGCAGGAAUCAGGAGAGACUGGCGGAGUGCUACUACACCCUGGAGGACUACGGGGGCCUGGAGAAGAUGGUGCAGGCCCUCCCCGAAAACCACAAGCUUCUACCAGAGAUUGGACACAUGUUUGUUACUGUGGGGAUGUGUGAACAAGCUGUGGCUGCCUUCACAAGGUGUAACCACAUAAAGAAAGCCAUAGACAGCUGUGUGGACCUGAACCAAUGGAACACAGCCAUAGAGCUGGCCAAGACCCACAACGUGAGGGAGAUAGACUCACUACUAGCCAAGUACGCCUCUCAUCUCCUGGCUUCCUGGAGGAGGAUGCUACAGCCAUCAGUGACAGUAAACUCCUGGACAAUGCCUGGAGAGGAGCAGAGGCCUACCACUUCUACCUGCUGGCCCAGAGACAGCUCAAUGAAGGUUACGUGGAGGCAUCAAUGAGAACCUGUUUGUUCCUGAGAGACUAUGAAGACAUUAUUGAUCCGUGUGACAUCUACUCUCUCUUAGCUUUGGCAGCCUCUGCUUGUAAAGCAUUUGGGACCUGCUCCAAAGCCUUCAUCAAGCUAGAGACCCUUGAAUCUCUCACUCCAGAACAGAGGUUGUCUUAUGAGGAGCUGGCAUUAGAGAUAUUCACAAAACAUGGUCCCCGUGACAGCCGUAAUAACAAAGUGGAAUGCUCCAGUUGUGCCACCAGCAUUCCAGACUCGUCCUUCUCCUGUCCAAACUGUGAUACCAAGUUCCCUGCCUGCAUUGUGACGGGUCGACCUUUGAUGGAGUACCAGUUCUGGAUGUGCAGUGCGUGUAAACACCGAGCAUUCGAGUCAGAGAUCUCUCACCGUCAAACCUGUCCCCUGUGUCACACACCUGUGUAGUCACACCACCUGUCCUCAAAAUGGACACCCCUAUUUAUGUUUAAUUUAAUGUUGAUAGACUGUUGAGUGUGAUCUGUCCAUCUUCCGUCCAAAUUGUGACUGUACUUUUAGAUUGUGAUGAUAAAUAAAAAAAUAAACC